GCUCUUUUAGCUGAAAUACUUCAUUUAAUAUACACUCAGAUGAUUUGAGCUGAAGCUAACCUGGAAAUCUCCGUCCUGCAGUCUACUUUCAAUGGUUCCAGAAAAUACUAUGGAAACUGCCAGAGAAGAAAAUAAUUGUAGUCCUCAACUCUCAUUAAGGAAACAUCUUUACAACUGAUUAGGACCACUACAGGAAAGCACAACCAAUCAAACUGCAGAGAUGUGGAACCCAGUCCCAACAGAUACCACAACAAAUAAGAAAAAAAGGAGUCCAAGUCAAAAUGUGAGUUUGCACUUGGUGGGAAAUGAAGAGAAAUGAGUUGCUGCUGACUAUGUUAUCUG